rnacentral:rRNA from 1 species
AUUGAACGCUGGCGGCAGGCCUAACACAUGCAAGUCGAACGGUAACAGGAAGCAGCUUGCUGCUUCGCUGACGAGUGGCGGACGUGUGAGUAAUGUCUGGGAAACUGCCUGAUGGAGGGGGAUAACUACUGGAAACGGUAGCUAUUACCGCAUAACGUCGCAAGCCCAAAGAGGGGGACCUUAGGGCCUCUUGCCAUCGGCUGUGCCCAGAUGGGAUUAGCUAGUAGGUGGGGUAACGGCUCACCUAGGCGACGAUCCCUAGCUGGUCUGAGAGGAUGACCAGCCACACUGGAACUGAGACACGGUCCAGACUCCUACGGGAGGCAGCAGUGGGGAAUAUUGCGCAAUGGGCGAAAGCCUGAUGCAGCAAUGCCGCGUGUAUGAAGAAGGCCUUCGGGUUGUAAAGUACUGUCAGCGGGGAGGAAGGGAGUAAAGUUAAUACCUGUGCUCAUUGACGUUACCCGCAGAAGAAGCACCGGCUAACUCCGUG